rfam:Aedes albopictus isolate Foshan contig121839, whole genome shotgun sequence.
UAGCCUAGUGGUUAAGACUUUGGAUCGCCAAUCCAGAGACGGCGGGUUCGAUUCCCGU